CUUGGUCAUUUAGAGGAAGUAAAAGUCGUAACAAGGUUUCCGUAGGUGAACCUGCGGAAGGAUCAUUCAUAAUAAGUGUUUAUGGCACUUCUUAAAUCCAUAUCCACCUUGUGUGCAAUGUCAGCCGUUUUCUUUAUGAAAGCGGCCAAACAUCAACUUAUUUUUUAACUGUCUGUCUGAAAACUAUUAUGAAUAAACAAUUCAAAUACAACUUUCAACAACGGAUCUCUUGGCUCUCGCAUCGAUGAAGAACGCAGCGAAAUGCGAUACGUAAUGUGAAUUGCAGAAUUCAGUGAAUCAUCGAAUCUUUGAACGCAUAUUGCGCUCUUUGGUAUUCCGAAGAGCAUGCUUGUUUGAGUAUCAGUAAACACCUCAAAGCCUUCAAUUCAGUUUGAAAGCUUUGGACUUGAGCAAUCCCAACAUCAGUCUCGCGACUGACGGAGGGCUGCUUGAAAUGCAGGUACAGCUGGACAUUCUCCUGAGCUAUAAGCAUAUUUAUUUAGUCCCGUCAAACGGAUUAUUACUUUUGCUGCAGCUAACAUAAAGGGAGUCUGACCGUAUUGGCUGACUGAUGCAGGAUUUCACAAGGGCUGGCAACAGCUUCUUGUAAAACUCGAUCUCAAAUCAAGUAAGACUACCCGCUGAACUUAAGCAUAUCAAUAAGCGGAGGAAAAGAAACUAACAAGGAUUCCCCUAGUAACGGCGAGUGAAGCGGGAUGAGCUCAAAUUUAAAAUCUGGCUGGUUUACU
rnacentral:sRNA from 1 species